AUCAUCAGUAGUGGUUAAUACUAUCUCAAGAUAAUAUUAAUUAAUUACAAUUUAUAGAAACCUAAUGUUUUGAUCAUUUUUAUUCUUCUGUUCGAUUUUACGUCUACGGAUGUUUUUUUGGGCUAGUUAAUACUGGAAUUUGAAUGGUUGAUUCAAUUCAUAUAACCCAUAUAGCUGAAUGGAUUUUGACUACCCCUAAACAAGGUGGGCACAAUAUCCAUUUCGUUUCCGGUUUCUUAGAUUAAUAUCUACUAUGAGGAAGGUCCUUCAAAUAAAAUAUUUUAAGGAAAGCUACAUGUUAUUCAGAGAAUUACGUCAUGUAAUUUGAGAGUUUGAUAUCUACAGUGUCUCUUCUUCAUGCUAGGACAUGC
rnacentral:snoRNA from 1 species